AGUGUUAAUAGUGGAGAGCUAAGUUUAUGUCAAAAUAUUUGUAGGAAACUCAAACUGCUUGCGCACAUUAUUUUCCCAAUCCAAAAUAUAUGGACAAUUCUCACAACAUCAUCGUCAAUCUGUUGAUAGGAUAGUGAUAAUCUUAUAUUGUGGUUUUUUAUAUAUGCUCUAUUUUUACCCUAUUAUUUGAAGCCCAAUCCGAAACAUUCACGAUUCUUUAACUUAACUAAUUAUGGCAAGCCGUAUUUUUUAUCAGAUAUUUUGCCUGCAACUUUUUGGAGUGAAAUCGAUUUAUUACCAAUAUUUUGAUUUGUUGAUAAAUUUAAGGGACAAGAAUGAUUGUGACCUCCAUGUAUGACAGAUAAAUGGUCUCUGUAUAGACAAUCCCUAUUAUUAUUCCCUGCCUUACUAACUAGGAUGUCUGAUAAGGAGUAGCCAAUAUGAAACAUAUUUAGGCCUCUAAUUUUUUGUUCUAUUCUUUUUUAAAUCUACGAUCAUGGAGUUUUAGCUGUAGUCCUUAGUCCAUAUUUUGCAUAGAACUUGUUUGGAGAAGUGACAAAAACGAUAGCAAUGUACCCAUAAUCAAAUAAAUCGUCAUUACAUUAAUUUCACUUGCUUAAUGACUCGUGUAGUCGCAAAAUGCAAUGAAUUGAAGGUUUCUAAAUCUUGGAACCAGAAAAACAAACUUCCAAUUAAUUAUGAUCGCAUCCUAGUUUUUUGGGUUCCUCAUAUCACUCUUUUUGCACAUUUCCAUAAUCCUUCAACAACUAAAAACUCCCAAGCACUCCCCACUCGACUGGCCUCUUUCUCCUUCGACAUAUAAACAAAAUCUAGAAAUCUUAAAAUCACUAACUAUUUGUAACUGCCCAUUGAUGUUAAUUUUUAGAGCAUUCUCGGUGAAUAAAUCCUCAACUGCCUCAAAUGUGCGAUGGUCCUGAGCGGGGCGAGGCCAGAGGAAACUUUGAUGGAGGCCCGCAACGAAACUGACGUGCAAAUCGUUCCUUUAACUUGGGUAUGGGUGCAAAAGACUAUCGAACUGUCUAGUUGGUUCCCUCCAAAGUUUCCUUCAAGAUAGCUGGAGCCCGUAAACGAGUUCUAUCAAGUAAAGCCAAUGAUUAGAGGCAUUGGGGGAGGCAUUGGGGGCGCAAUGCCCUCGACCUGUUCUCAAACUUUAAAUAGGUAGGAACGAGUGGCUGCUCCGUCGAGUCACUCCACAGAAUCGAGCGCUCCAAGUGUGCCAUUUUUGGUAAGCAGAACUGGCGAUGCGGGAUGAAUCGAAAGCCGGGAUACGGUGCCGAAUUACGCGCUAACCCAAAACCCACAAAGGAUGUUGGUUGAUUAAGAAGCAGGACGGUGGUCAUGGAAGUCGAAAUCCACUAAGAAGUGUGUAACAACUCACCGGCCAAAUCAACUAGCCCCGAAAUGGAUGGCAUUGAAGUGUGCAACCCACACUCGGCCGUCAGGGCGAUUGCCAUGCCCCGAUGAGUAGGAGGGCACGACAGUUGCUGUGAAACCUGGGGCACGAGCCCUAGCGGAGCAGCCGUCGAUGCAGAUCUUGGUGGUAGUAGUAAAUAUUCAAAUGAGAACUUUGAAUGCCAAAGUGGGAAAGGUUCCAUGCGAACGGCAGUUGCACAUGGGUUAGUUGAUCCUAAGAGUCGGGGGAAGCCCAUCCGAGAGCACUGCUAGCAUGAGCUUCGACAGGAAAUCGGGUUAAAAUUCCUGAACCGGGACAUGGCGGCAGACGACAACGUUAGGGAGUCCAAAGACGUCGUCGAGGGCUUCGAGAAGAGUUAUCUUUUAUGUUUAACAACCUGCCCACCCUGGAAAUGGCUCAGCUGGAGGUAGGGUCCAGAGGCUGGAAGUGCACCGCAAAUUGCGUGGUAUCCGGUGUGACUCCGGCGGCCCAUGAAAAUAUGGAGGACCGAGUGCCGCGCACGCCCUGUCGUACUCAUAACCACAUCAGGUCUCCAAGAUGAACAACCUCUGGUCGAUGGAACAAUGUAGGCAAGGAAGUCGGCAAAAUGGAUCCAUAACUUCGGGAAAAGGAUUGACUUUGAGGGAUGGGCUCAGGGGUCCCCGCCUCGAACCCGUCGGUUGUCGGCGAACUGCUCGAGCUGCUCCCACGGAGAGAGCGGGUCGCCGCGUGCCGGCCGGGGACAAACAGGGAACGGCCCGCUUGGGGGCCUUCCCCUACCAUCGAACAGCUGACUCAGAAUUGGUACAAACAAGGGGAAUCCGACUGUUUAAUUAAAACAAAGCAUUGCGAUGGUCCAUGCGGAUGUUGACGCAAUGUGAUUUAUGCCCAGUGCUCUGAAUGUCAAAGUAAAGAAAUUCAACCAAGUGGGAGUAACUAUGACUCUCUUAAGGGAGCCAAAUGCCUCGUCAUCUAAUUAGUGACGCGCAUGAAUGGAUUAACGAGAUUCCCAUUGUCCUUGUCUACUAUCUAGCGAAACCACAGCCAAGGGAACGGGCUUGGCAGAAUAAGCAGGGAAAGAAGACCCUUUUGAGCUUGACUCUAGUCCGACUUUGUGAAAUGACUUGAGAUGUGUAUGAUAAGUGGGAGCUGCCCCCAGUGGCACAAGUGAAAUACCACUACUUUUAACACUAAUUUAGUUAUUCCGUGAGUUGGAGGUGGGGCAUCACCCCUCGUUUUGGCUCCAAGGCUCGCCCUCGGCGGGCUGAUCCGGGUGGAUGACAUUGUCAGGUGGGGAGUUAGGCUGGGGCGGCACAUCUAUUAAAAGAUAACACAGGUGUCCUAAGAUGAGCUCAACAAGAACAUAAAUCUCGUGUGGAACAAAAGGGUAAAACUUCAUUUGAUUCUGAUUUCCAGUACGAAUACGAACCAUUAAAGCGUGGCCUAUCAAUCCUUCAAACCUUCGGGGCCUUCGAAUACUAUUCGGGUCUGAGGUCGGGUCAUACCCAAACCGUUGCUGACCCUAAUUGAAACCUCUUCUAAUAAAAUUUUUAGGAGUUUCUUAAUUUGGUGGUUUAGAAACUCACCUGCAUAAAAACUUUUUCCACCCGUAAAACGGGUCUUUUAUGGAGGCUAAGUCGCAAGUAUGCCCACCAAAUAGUAGGUAUAAUUUAACAAGUGUAAUGGGGUGGCCACGAAGUAAACAAAAAGUGAGAUUAUUCCCAUGCGAUUCUCGAUCUUCGAUGGAGGUGUCUGCCUUGUCACCGCAUCCAGACAAAAACUUUCGCGAAGUAAGCAUGCAUGAUUGAGCUCGAUGCUUUUCUUUUUGGAGGUGAGAGAACACCACUCUCUCUCUUUCUCUCAUGUUUUUUUGGGUCGAUACUCUCUCUAUCUCUCUCAUGUGCUGCUUUCUCUCAUACUUUCAUGGGGAGAUAUGCUUUUGGUUCCCUUUCUUUCUAAGCGUGUGCUACUUUUAGUUGCACCUCUCCCGCCCCCCCAUUCUCUCUCUCUCUCUCAGUCACGCAGUCUUUGAAAAAUCGAACCGGCCCCGGCAACCGGUUGCGGCUGGUUCU
rnacentral:rRNA from 1 species